rnacentral:lncRNA from 1 species
GGGGGAGGGGCGGGUCCUCGGAAGCCCCUUCUGCGCGGCGCCCGAUGACACCCCUGGCAGACACGCCCGGCGGUGGGGGAUCCGGGGUGGUCCACGCCCUCCACGCGCUCCACAGGUCCCAUCCCACGCGCCCGCGGGGCCCGCUCCAGAGGCUCCUCCGAGGCCGCUGCAGAGGCGCGGCCAGGCUCCCAUUUCUGCGCAUCCCUGGCGCUCAGACACGGCCUGGACCGGAUACCCAGCGACUCCCUUCGGCCUCCACCGCCUCCUGGGGAGGGACCGCGCUCUGCUCCCACGCGGGGCCCGGGGGUCUCCGCAGCCCUGGCCUGGGCGCGUCCGUCGGGCUCCUCGGCUCGGAGCACCCCCCGCCCCGCCGCCCCACCAGCGCCUCUCCGGAGCGCUCACCCCGCCCCCGACUCGUGUUGUUGUUGUGUGGUUUUUUUCUCUAAUUCUCCGGAGUUACUCUUUUGUUGCCAAUU